CCUACGGGAGGCUGCAGUGAGGAAUAUUGGUCAAUGGCCGAGAGGCUGAACCAGCCAAGUCGCGUGAGGGAAGACGGCCCUACGGGUUGUAAACCUCUUUUGUCGGGGAGCAAAGCGAACCACGUGUGGUUCAUUGAGAGUACCCGAAGAAAAAGCAUCGGCUAACUCCGUGCCAGCAGCCGCGGUAAUACGGAGGAUGCGAGCGUUAUCCGGAUUUAUUGGGUUUAAAGGGUGCGCAGGCGGAGGUGCAAGUCAGCGGUCAAAUUGCGGGGCUCAACCCCGCACUGCCGUCGAAACUGGAUGCCUUGAGUGUGCGGGAGGUAUGCGGAAUGCGCGGUGUAGCGGUGAAAUGCAUAGAUAUCGCGCAGAACUCCGAUUGCGAAGGCAGCAUACCGGCGCGCAACUGACGCUGAUGCACGAAAGCGUGGGUAUCGAACAGGAUUAGAUACCCGGGUAGUC
rnacentral:rRNA from 1 species